UGAUCCCUUUAUAGAGAGUUGUUCUGUUGAGGUUGAGUGAUGAAAGCAGGCAGCCCUGGGUCUUGGUGACAGAUCACUGGGUGGACGUGGGAAAAUGUUUGGAGUGUUUCUUAGUUCUUUUCUUUUUUUUUUUUUUUUUUUUUUUGAGAUGGAGUUUCGCUCUUGUUGCCCAGGCUGGAGUACAAUGGUGCAAUCUCGGCUCACCACAACCUCUGCCUCCUGGGUUCAAGCGAUUCUUCUGCCUCAGCCUCCUGAGUAGCUGGGACUACAGGUGUGCACCACCAUGCCAACUAAUUUUUG
rnacentral:lncRNA from 1 species